UGGUGAAGAUAGCCCAGGAAACAGUGCGGUUCGUUGGAGGAAGCUAGGAAGAAGGAGCCGAAAUGAUGUGGUGAAGCUAGAAAAGAGGAUUCCGGGAAGGUGGAGCCAGUUCGAGUUGGUGAUGAAGCUAGCUGGCGUCUUGGCUUGUCAACGCGGAGGAGGCGAGCAGGCAUUGCGUUGUGGAGAGAAUAGAUAGCGGCUCCUAGACCAGCAUGUCAAUGUGCAAGAAAGGCUGCAGGGAAAGCAUGUGGUGCGGUAACAUCCCGUGAGGUCGGCAACGCGGUGGUGGUUUCUGUAACUUGAGGAUGGUCUGUCUAGAAUCCUAAAGGCAGAUGACUCAAGGGAACCAGGAAA
rnacentral:lncRNA from 1 species